rnacentral:rRNA from 1 species
UACGUAGGCAGCGAGCGUUGUUCGGAAUUACUGGGCGUAAAGAGUGUGUAGGCGGUGCUCUAAGUUCGGUGUGAAAUCUCCUGGCUUAACUGGGAGGGCGCGCCGAAAACUGGAGUGCUCGAGCGUGGGAGAGGAAAGCGGAAUUCCUGGUGUAGCGGUGAAAUGCGCAGAUAUCAGGAGGAACACCGGUGGCGAAGGCGGAUCUCUGGGCCGAUACUGACGCUGAGGAGCGAAAGCGUGGGGAGCGAACAGG